rnacentral:ncRNA from 1 species
AAAUAAUAAUAAUUUAACUUAAAUAUAAAAAAUUACAUAAUUAAACUAUUAUUAUGGAAAUUAUAAUUUAUCCCAGUAAAAAAUAUUAAAAAAUAAUGAAAAUUAAUUUUAGAUUCUAAUUAAAUUUUUAGAUAAAUAAAGUGCCAGCAAUCGCGGUCAGACUUUAAUAAAAAUUUUAAAAUAUAAUUAAUAAUUUAUUUAUUUUACUUAAAAGAAAAUAAAAAACUUAUUUAAAAGUGAAAUUCAAAAUUUUUAAAAAUUUAUUUCUUCUUUAAAAAUAAUCAAAAUUUAAUAUAAAAACUAGGAUUAGAUACCCUACUAUUCUAAAUUCACACAAAAUUAUGGAGUAGUUCUAUAUAAAAUUAUAUAAACUCUAAAAGUUAUGGCGGCUAAAAAAAAAAAACAGGGGAACUUACCACAUCAAAGACAAUCAUCUAGAAAUCUAAUAUUUUUUUAAAAAAGUUUGUAUGCCGUCGUCAAAAAAUAAAAUUUAUUAUUUUAUUUAAAAAAUUAAAAUAUUUAAAGAAUUCUAAUGUCAGAUCAAGGUGCAGCCAAUAAAAAUGAGGUAGGCGAGUUACAAUAGUAAAGAACUUACCAUAAAUUAAUUAUUGAAUAAUUUUAUAAAGGUUGGACUUGAAUGUAAUUGUUAAAUAAGUAUUAAAUAUUGAAUAAUUUUUUUUUAGUGCACAAAUCGCCCGUCACUCUCGUUGAAAAUUAAAUUUCUUAAAAUUUUAAAUAAAAGGAGAUAAGUCGUAACAAAGUAAGAAUAGUGGAAACUGUUCUU